UCCCCUCUUUUAAAAAAAUUUUUUUUUUAGCCAGUAAUUAUUGCAGGAGUAUUAUCCUGGGCUCUUUUAGGUACAUGAACCAAAGGGUCCUCUGAAGAACAUUGCCUCCAUGCUGGAAUUCUCCUAUCUUCUCACUUUUAUCAACAGCAUCACAAACCAGUCCCUCCAUCAAUCAUUUUUUUGACAGAUCAGCACGAGUUUAAUCCUAAUGAGAGCACCCGAGAACUAGCAAGAUGGGGCUGUCCAGAGGCCCGCCCUGGCUCCUCUGAAGACUUUGGCUGAGUAAAUACAAUCUGAAAGGGCUGGGGAGCUUGAAAGCAAAACUGUAAACGAUCCCAUCUGUGAUUCUUGGCUGAUUAUUCCUCUGGGGUAGACCAAAGAGGGGAAAACUAGAAGAGAGGGUCUCUUUUUGCUUUAAACAAAAUAUGGCUACAAUUCUGCAUCUUCCUUGUUCAGGGCAUUUUCCAAGGGAAAGUUCAUUAGGGAGACUCGGAAGCACGUUCCACUAAUAUCCAUCAAAGAGGAGUUCAGUUUCAAAGAGCAGGAGAAAUACAAUAGCAUUGAAGCAAACUACGUGACAAAGGUCUGGUGCUCCUGAGAAGCACAGGACAAGUGAGAAUGGUUUUGGAUUUUUACCAAGGUCCAUAGCCAGUUGCGAUCUCAGCAGUCAGCUUCUCCCCAUCCCUCUACCCAGCUAUGAAUGUUUCUUCAGAACCUUCAUGUUUCAGAGCUUGGGAUCUCAAAGCCUAGAUAAGAAAUCCUGAAUCAUCCUGUCAGUCAACUCAAGGAGAGCCAGAAUUGGGAGGAAAGAAAAAACUCCCAAGAAGCAACAUUAAUGAAGAGAUUUUUAUCUCCUCUUCUUGGAUGGCCUGAUGCAUUUUCUUAAACCCUGUUCCUUUAAAAGAGGAGAACUGAAGAGUCAGAUCAACUGCUCUAGGACCUUGACCCAGGCCUACUCUAUUUGGGCUCUGGGAGAGGCACUGACGAUGCUCCAGACCCUGGAUGAGGAUGGAAGCUAGUGGGUACAGACAGGAUCUCAUCAAUCACAGGAAUUCAGAUUUGACAAACUUAUUUCCAUAUCGGCUAAGGCUAAAAUCCACUGAAAAAUGAGAUCUGAGACUCACUGAUGUCAAAAUGGGGGGACACUAUCCCCAGUACCACCAUCUGGUUUGGGGUCUCAGCUCUUUCUUUCUCCUUCUAUGAGCACCGGGGUAGAUCUCUUCACCUCUCUGGCUCUCAGUUUCCUGUGCAUACACUGGUGAGAAUAUUGUGAAGAUCCUUUCCAAACUGCAAAUGAAUCUGUGCUGUUCCAAAGCAUCUAGUCAAUAAUAUCUUCCAGGGGCUGAAGAGCCCUGGGUGGCUAAAGUAACGGGGCUCCUGGUGCAGUAUCUCCUGUCUACUCACUACCGUACUCAGGAGGUGAUGUGGCUGUGCUAGGUCCUUCUCGUUCCUCAUGGUGGCAGGCACAAUGGAUUGGACAUGCCACUGCUGUGGCUUGGUGGCUCAGCUUUCCUGGCCAGGAAUGUGCAGGGUGCAUCCAAGUGCUGUGUCUUCCAUCAGUCCCACCUCUGAGGAGGCAGCAGAGGAAGAAACUAGGGAGGGACACAUCACUCUCCAGGACAACCAGGGCCAAUGGGGGUGGGAGAAAAUGAGGGUAGUAGGAAGAGGGGUCACUUGUAAAAUAGCAGGCCACCAGCUAAGUGAGACCUGCUGAGGGAUGAGCAUUACUCAGAGGGCAGGUCCAGUUCCCAUUCUAGGCCCAAAAUAAACUCCCCAAGCCCUGUUGUAGUUGGCUAAUGGCAAUCCCCAAACCACAGGCUCCAGAGAAACGAGGCAGCGCUCCAGGAGAAGCCACCCACGGGAAAGGAGAGGACGGAGGGAGAAGGCCUGGCCCAGGGUCCUGCAUGAGUGGGGCUGAAUGCUUCAGAUGGAGGUGGAGUGCACCCCCCAGUUUUCAAGCUUCAGUGCUAAGACCUGAAGUGGAAUCCAACGCACUGCAUAGCUGCUCACGUGGGCAGGGAGCUGAGAUCACCCUCCUCAGGCAGCCUCAAGACCAUCAAAGAAGUCAUGGGGUCAUUUGGAAGCUCUUCCUUCUGGGGUUUUCAAGCUUAGAGAGACCGGAACACCACUUGGGAGACGUGGUUUGGAAAGCUCUCCAAAGCUCUGGUCAGAUUGCUGUCUUUCAGCUAAAACACAGGUUUCACCAAGUUCGCUUUCCAAACUCCAUUUGAAACAAUUAUCUUGGCACAUCAUCCUUCCCAUUGCCUUUGGAGAGUUCCCCCAUGCGAUAGCAACAAAAACAGGCCCCCAUAUCCUGUGAGGGGCUGCAGGGAGAGAGAAAGCCCCAGUAAGUCAAGAUGGGUGAAUAGCUGAGGGAUUCACAAGCAGGAGCUGCACUGACAAGGACCCCAGGAGGUCACCACAGAAGGAGAGAAAACACCACCGAAGAAUGUAAGCUGGACAUCUUCCCAACACAAAAUCAGAACGGGACCUUGAUGUAUCGCUCACUCAAGCCCUUUCCCUGGGGUGGGAUCAUACUCAAAUCUUUGGUAUACUUGAAAAAUAGUCCUUGAAAGCACACACACACACACACACACACACACACACACACACACUAUGCUUUGUAUUUGUUUGUGAUAACGCAACCUCAUCCCUCAUCCCUGUCCCAGUAGCUCACUGCAAUUAGGCAUUUGCCCUGCUGACUUAGAGACCCAGCAAAAGGGACUCUUGAGAAGGAAAGAGGAAUUCCACACUGGUGAGGUUAGGGCUGCAGUCCUUAAAGGGAGAUUUUUUCUUUUUUUUUUUUUUUUGAAAGGGCUGCUCUGAUGCUCAGAGGGAGCUGGCUGAAGGGCUGGGAAGGCCAUUCUCAAGCCCUAAGACUGGAGCGGGCAGGUUUCACCUUCUGAGCAUUCCCAUCCGUCCUGCAUCCACAGCCCAGGGCCCUGGAGGUGCUCUAUUCUCCACCCACUCCUGAAAACCUGCUGCUCUCUGAGGCUACUUCAAAGCCCCCUGGGAAAGCCAAGUCUCCAAUUAAGCCUCUUUGAGGCAGGUUCUCAUUCCUUCCCCACUAAUUGAAAUGUUACUCCUUUUACUAAAACCAUAAACCACCCAAACACAACGGUCUUCCUCAUUUGCAUUGUAACAAUGUCCCUAAUGUGCUUCCAAGAGCUUUAUGUAAAGGCGAACCUUUUCUCCAUCCCUGUAUGAACGGUCAAAAGCAAUUCCGAGGCAAGGGCCUUCAUUUCCAUCCCUAUACAGCUGCUCAUUAGCUAAGGUGGAAUAAAUUCCUUUUAUUCGGGAUUCAUUUCCCAGGAUGACAAUGUCUUUUUUGUCUCAGGCCACUGUUCCCAAACUAGGCCUUAAUUGCUGAUAGUAAUUGAGUUAAUACAUAUUUACCAAGGCUAAGGUUAAAGAAGGUCUCCUGUCGUUUUAUUUGAGACAUUUUAUUUAACCUGCAAUAAAAUCAUUAACGAGU